GUGAUAUCAAUCUGGCUGUGGCACCUAUCACCCCAUUGAUUCCCAGAGUUGAUUCAGCUGAUCUGCCUGGCUAGGUGGGUGUCUCCUUCCUCCAUCACCACUCUACGUGUGUCCCUCCUGAAGCUGCACACUUGGUCAAAGAGGAUGACCUUCUCCAACAGAGAAGGACCAUUCUUCAGUCAAGUGUAUGGUAUAUCUUUUCCUAUCUUUUUACUUUCAGCUUACUUGACUCUUUGAAUCUAAAG
rnacentral:sRNA from 1 species